rnacentral:rRNA from 1 species
AGUAAUACAUCGGAACGUACCCAGUAGUGGGGGAUAGCUCGGCGAAAGCCGGAUUAAUACCGCAUACGACCCAUGGGUGAAAGCGGGGGAUCGCAAGACCUCGCGCUAUUGGAGCGGCCGAUGUCGGAUUAGCUAGUUGGUGAGGUAAAGGCUCACCAAGGCUACGAUCCGUAGCUGGUCUGAGAGGACGACCAGCCACACUGGGACUGAGACACGGCCCAG